GCACUCGUGGCGGAACUGGCAUACGCGGUAGCUUGAGGAGCUACGCCGAAAGGCGUGAGAGUUCGAGUCUCUCCGAGUGCACCA
rnacentral:tRNA from 2 species